UACUGCUUCUACCAUCAUGAUCAUGGUCAUGAUACUGAAGAUUGCAUUUAGCUUCAGGAUAAGAUUGAGAGGCUCAUCAGGCAAGGGAGGUUGAAUCACUUUAUCCAAAGGAGAGCACCUUAACAUUGACCUUCGAGGGCUUAGCAUCCAUUUCCUUUGCCUCAUCAACCGUUUCCUCUAUCUCAGCCAUAGUCAGUAUUGGUGCAGUA
rnacentral:lncRNA from 1 species